rnacentral:rRNA from 1 species
CAGUCGCCGCGGGAAUACGAAGGUCCCGAGCGUUGUUCGGAAUCACUGGGCGUAAAGGGAGCGUAGGCGGCGUGGUAAGUCAGAUGUGAAAUCCCGGGGCUCAACCCCGGAACUGCAUCCGAUACUGCCAUGCUAGAGGAUUGGAGAGGUAGCUGGAAUUCUUGGUGUAGCAGUGAAAUGCGUGGAGAUCAAGAGGAACACUCGUGGCGAAAGCGAGCUACUGGACAAUAACUGACGCUGAGGCUCGAAGGCCAGGGUAGCGAAAGGGAUUAGAUACCCCCGUAGUCUGUCUCUUAUACAC